rnacentral:rRNA from 1 species
GACGAACGCUGGCGGCGUGCCUAAUACAUGCAAGUAGAACGCAGUUGCGAACGGGUGAGUAACGCGUAGGUAAAUGCCUCAUAGCGGGGGAAAACUAAUGGAAACGAUAGCUAAUACCGCAAUGUGUGGGAAGGACGGGCGUUGUAUUAGCGAGGUGGUAAGGUAAAGGCUCACCAAGGCGACGAUACAGAGCCGACCUGGGAGGGUGAGCGGCCACACUGGAACUGAGACACUGCCCAUACUCCCACUGGAGGCAGCAAUAGGGGAUCUUCGGCAAUGGACGGAAGUCUGACCGAGCAACGCCGCGUGAGUGAAGAAGGUUGUCGGAUCUUAAAGCUCUGUUGUGAGAGAAGCGGUAACUGACCAGAAAGGGACGGCUAACUACGUGCCAGCAGCCGCGGUAAUAC